rnacentral:SRP_RNA from 1 species
GGGCGGACUAGGCCGGGAGGCUAGCUCUCUCCUGUAACCGUAAAUGAGCUUUAUACGGGGUCGAAGUCUGCAAAGCAGCAUACAUCCUGCAGAGCAGUCCUGUUCGGGCUGUUGACGCUCUGUCCGGCAGGAUUGUGGUUGCAGGAACCGCGUCAGGCCCGGGAGGGAGCAGCGCUCACUGUAAUUCUCAAUGCUUGUCGGGUAGCGGAGCCGAGGCCCGUUCAGGAUCAACUGUCCUGUAGGGUGUGUGUUCAUUUGCAGACGCGUCCGCCU